AAAGCGGGGGACGGGAGAGAGAGAGAGAGAGAGAGAGAGAGAAAGAAAGAGAGUUCCAAAUGUUUACUUGGGUAAGAAAUGCGCUGGCCAUUUAGCCCUGUUGUGACAAAUCCCUGAAAAUGGAGGAACGCCGCAUACCAUAUAAGGUAGGAUGCUAACUUGACCUUCACUUUGCAAUGGCGGCCCCCGCCCACCCAGACAGACAGUUGUAAACAGAAGUCAUCCGACAAAAAAGAUUAGCCCCGGCCAGGCAAGGUCUACGGAAUUGCUAAGAUCUUGGCUGAUUUUUGGAUCCCGGCAAACGAGGUUUUCUUUUGGUGGCCGCCGGUGCCAGAACGUCCCGGGCAGAUUCGGAUUUGAAAUUUACAUCAAAUAUUCUUCUGGUUAUUCCUAAAUCUGCUUUGCAUAAAAAAGGAAGGAAGGAAGGAAGCGGACCGGCAACCGGAUUUUUGAUGGUUGUGCAACCUUAAAUAAUAAUGCCGGACAAUCCACUACUUAUUGAGGUCGAUGAUGAAGUCCUUACAGAUUUUAGUCGCAGAUACACUUACCCUUUCCUUUUGUGAGACNUUGCCAAAGGGUACACAUAUCAAUCUACCUUCCCGCUUACCUUGNCCUCCUCAAAGUUUGCAGACUAUAACAAUAGCAAGACCACCACCAGCAGCCAUCCUCAACUCAUAUGGUUAUGAAUUCAGUGCUUCCCUACCCUGGGAAAUCUGCAGUAUACAAAGCAACCCUUGGUAGAGUGAAAGCCUGAGACAGACAGGAAAGUGUUCAACUACUCAGUCACAGAUCUUUGGGGAAGACAAGGACCAAGGAUCUUUGACCCCCCCACUCCCAUCAAGGAACCAUUUGUCAAGAAAGCAGAGCACCCAGGAAGUACAAGAAACANUAUUUCAGUUGUCUUCUGUGCUUCAAAAUUGAGCUGAUUAUGAAUUCAUAGGCAGUAGAUAUGAGAAAUUUAUUUCUGAGGCCAGGGUUAUUGAAAUAUAAGAUGGAUGGAGGGAUUAUAGGGGGAGGAGAAAAGAUGCAUACAUACAGAUGAAGUAAGGUAGACUGAUAGAUGAGAUGGGUGGGGAAACAGGUCAACUUGUGUGUAUUCCGUGGCAUUAUUAAAAAUUAAAAUAAAAUCUUAUAUUGUCU
rnacentral:lncRNA from 1 species